UCCAAUGGCUCCUGAUGACGCCCUAAAACAUAUACUCUUCAAGGUAAAUAUGCAAUAACGGUCGGCAGCCAUAAAUCCACACAUUAUUUAGAGCAAUCUCCACUGCAAAGUAUAUCUGAUAAACCAUAUGCUGUAGUUUGGCUAACAACCAACUUACUAAAUGAAAUGGCACUAAAGACACAUUGCCAGUACCUAUUCUUUAAUAGUUAGGGGAAGAUACUGUAAUAAUAUCAAUGCAAAGCAAAAACCCUACAACAUGUGCAAGUCUACAAAUGAAGUCAUACUACUUUAAAGAGUGCCAUUGAUCAUCUGAGGUCUAACCACAUGCUGAGUGCAUCUGCAUCGUGCAAGCACUAUAAUCUUCAUGCAAAGGUAAAGAGAAAUUA
rnacentral:misc_RNA from 1 species